rnacentral:tRNA from 1 species
CCUGUAGCUCAGUUGGAUAGAGUGCAAGACUCCGACUCUUGAGGUCGCAGGUUCGAAUCCUGUCAGGCG